UACGGGGGGGGCAAGCGUUGUUCGGAAUUACUGGGCGUAAAGGGCUCGUAGGUGGCCAACUAAGUCAGACGUGAAAUCCCUCGGCUUAACCGGGGAACUGCGUCUGAUACUGGAUGGCUUGAGUUUGGGAGAGGGAUGCGGAAUUCCAGGUGUAGCGGUGAAAUGCGCAGAUAUCAGGAGGAACACCUAUUGCGAAGGCAGCUCGCUGGGACGUUACUGACGCUGAGACGCGAAAGCGUGGGGAGCAAACAGG
rnacentral:rRNA from 1 species